rnacentral:rRNA from 1 species
CGGUACGCGUAACACGUAAGCAACCUGCCCCGAAGACCGGGACAACGUUCCGAAAGGAGCGCUAAUACCGGAUGUGCCCACGUUGAGACAUCUCUUUGUGAGUAAAUCGAGCAAUCGGCUUUGGGAGGGGCUUGCGGCCUAUCAGCUAGAUGGUGGGGUAAUGGCCUACCAUGGCGACGACGGGUAGCUGGUCUGGGAGGAUGGUCAGCCGGAUUGGGACUGAGAUACGGCCCAG